CGAACGGUGCUUUUCCACACAUUUUGUGCAAGUGCAUUUCUGUAGGAGAAAUUCCUGGACGUAGAUCCGCUGGGCCGAGUGGUAUGUGCCCGAGGUAGUUGUGACGGCUGCUGGCAAGUUGCCCUCUGCGGAAGCGGGAUCGGUAGUUGGACUCGCUCUACCAAAGUUCUAGAGUGCACACGCCUUCACCAGCACAGUGUCACCUGUCAGUCUGAGGGGUGGAAAAUGCUAUCUACUGUUUAAGUUUGCGUUUCAGAUGGUUAUGGCUUUUAAUUUCUCUUGCAGUCACUUUUCUGUUUCAUGCAAAGCCACUACAGCUUCUUUUGAAGAGCUGACGGUGGAUUGCUUCAGACAUCAGUCAUGGUGAUGACUGAGCUACCCAGGAUAAGGGUGGAGCUACAGUAAUUUACCAGGGUACUUCAAGAAGUUCAUGAAAAGCAGGGCACAGUGCUCAUGUCUCCAAUGGUCACCCUCGAGUGCAGGACCCGCUCCAUCAUUUGCAGGGCCCAGUGCAGAAUGACAACGCGGGCGCCCCGUACAAAGUAGGAAGAAUUUCACGACAGCAGCAGCAGUGUGCUCAGCUGAGGGGGACGCUCCUGCACGGUGUGUCACGUUGAUGAGGAGACUCAGAAGACAUUCUGCCAGGACCCUUGUGGAGGCCUGCUCUGGUCUGUGUGCCUGGUCUUUACUCCUUUCUGUUGGAAUGCUGGAGUAUUUUCAGUACUCCACGAGCAGAUCAUUCCACUUCUGGAUUCCUUUCAGAGCUGGAACCCCAGCUUGCCGUGGGCCGGGGCCUCAAGCAGUCACCCGACCUCUUUGCCCUCCUGCUUCCCACCUGGUCCCUUCUCCUGGGGGAAUGUGACGAGGCACAUGCCCAGCGGGACCACAGCCUUGACAAACGUCACUUGCGUCUAUCCUCUCCACUGGCAGGGAGUGACAGAAGAAAGGAUUUUAUUUCUAGGUUUUUAAUUCCUUAUGUUUAUUGUAAUUCUUAUAUUUGGGGAUUAGUCUUGGGCACACGCUAUUGGGUGUGCGGCUGAGGCCGUUUCCUUGGGCGCCCUCCUGAGGAAGAGACGGCGGACUCUGAAAUCCGGUCGAGGGAAGGCAAGCAAGCUGGCCAUCUUAAAAGUGGGAGAAGCCAACAAACCCACCUUAUUAGAGUCCCACGCAUCCUUUGGAAGAAGAGCUAUGUCUCUUGCAAGAAAGGGACUCAGGACUCCUGCCUCUGCGUGCGGUGGCCAGUCAAAUGCUAGGUCCACCACAUUCUAGAUGGGAGACCUGGGCAAGUUGGUUUGCCCCCUGUGCCUGUGCCACUGCAGCUGUAAAAUGGGGCCACCAAUAGCACCGCCCCCUCAGAUUGAACGAGGUGAGUCCUGCAAACUCACCAGCCCCUGCUGAGGGCCGCACAAGUGUUUUGUUCUUAAAUACGAUAAAAUGGUUUUGAAGGGAA